rnacentral:rRNA from 1 species
CGAAUUGUAGUUUAGAGAAGCGUUUUCUGGGAUAGCUCGGGCAUAGGUCCUUUGGAACGAGGCGUCAUAGAGGGUGAGAACCCCGUCUGUGGUCCGAAGUCUAUUCCUUUGUGAUACGCUUUCAAAGAGUCGGGUUGUUUGGGAUUGCAGCCCAAAAUGGGUGGUAAAUACCAUCUAAAGCUAAAUAUUGGCGAGAGACCGAUAGCGAACAAGUACCGUGAGGGAAAGAUGAAAAGAACUUUGAAAAGAGAGUUAAACAGUACGUGAAAUUGCCAAAAGGGAAACGCUUGGAACCAGUGUUGCAAUCGGUAUUUGGUCGUUCCUAGAACGAUUUACUUGCCGUGCGCAGGUCAACAUCAGUUUGGCUUGGAGUAAAAAGCUGUUUGGGGGUCUCCGGAUCAACUUUCAGUCAUGCUCUGGGCUGGACUGAGGUCUGCUAACAGGAUGUUGACGAAAUGGUUUCAAACGACCCGUCUUGAAACACGGACCAAGGAGUCUAACAAAUAUGCAAGUAUUUGGGUG